rnacentral:lncRNA from 1 species
UGACUAUUACUCGACCUAAUAUUUCAUUUGCUGUACAGAAGGCAGGUCAGUUUAUACUCACCAAUCUCAUUUAGCAGUUGUAUAACAUAUUCUUCGCUAUCUCAAGGGUACAUAUGGUCGAAGGUUACUUUUUUCCUCCUACAAAUUAUUACAGUUGACAUGUUAUAGUGAUGCUAACUAGGCUAGUCAUGUGGAUACUCGUCAUUCAG